rnacentral:rRNA from 1 species
GACGUAGGGCGCGAGCGUUGUCCGGAAUCACUGGGCGUAAAGGGCGCGUAGGCGGCCUGAUAAGUAGGGGGGUGAAAUCCUGCGGCUUAACCGCAGGGCUGCCUUCUAAACUGUCAGGCUCGAGCACAGUAGAGGCAGGUGGAAUUCCCGGUGUAGCGGUGGAAUGCGUAGAGAUCGGGGAAGAACAUCAGUGGCGAAAGCGGCUUCCUGGACCAGUACCGACGUUCAGGCACGAAAGCGUGGGGAGCAAACAGG